rnacentral:rRNA from 1 species
GGGUAACGGGGUGCUAGGGCACGACACCGGAGAGGGAGCCUGAGAAACGGCUACCACAUCCAAGGAUGGCAGCAGGCGCGCAAAUUACCCAAUCCCGACACGGGGAGGUAGUGACAAUAAAUAACAAUACGGGGUCCUUUCGGGUUUCGUAAUUGGAAUGAGCACAAUUUAAAUCUCUUAACGAGGAACAAUUGGAGGGCAAGUCUGGUGCCAGCAGCCGCGGUAAUUCCAGCUCCAAUAGCGUAUAUUAAAGUUGUUGCAGUUAAAAAGCUCGUAGUUGAAUUUCGGGAUUAGUGCGCCGGUCGUGCCUUCGGUAUGUACUGGUGUUACUGGUUCCUACCUUCUGACGAACCGUCAUGUCAUUAAUUUGGUGUGGCGGGGAAUCAGGACUGUUACUUUGAAAAAAUUAGAGUGUUUAAAGCAGGCUCGCGCUUGAAUACAUUAGCAUGGAAUAAUGAAAUAGGACGUUCGAUCCUAUUUUGUUGGUUUCUAGGAUUGACGUAAUGAUUAAUAGGGAUAGUUGGGGGCAUUAGUAUUCAAUUGUCAGAGGUGAAAUUCUUGGAUUUAUUGAAGACUAACUACUGCGAAAGCAUUUGCCAAGGAUGUUUUCAUUAAUCAAGAACGAAAGUUAGGGGAUCGAAGACGAUCAGAUACC